UUGUGUGUAUUGAGAGCAGUGUAAUAUUUUAUUUUGUUUAUAAAAAUGUUUAUAUAAAUUUCUGUUGUGGGAAAAAAGAAAACAAAAGAGGAAAAAAGCAUUGUGGAUGUUGACAUGGGGAGAGAGAGAGAGAGAGAGAGAGAGAGAGAGAGAGAGAGAGAGAGAGAGAGAGAGAGAGAGAGAGAGAGAGAGAGAGAGAGAGAGAGAGAGAGAGAGAGAGAGAGAGAGAGAGAGAGAGAGAGAGAGAGAGAGAGCGCGCGCAUCUGUGUACGUGUGCUAAUGGUGCCCCAUGCUAUUUUUGUGCAGAAUAAAGGUCUUCAGUUCCUCAAGUCUGGUUGAGCUGUUAGACAGUCAUCUAGUAGUUUCCUCAAAACUAUUAGCAAACUUUGGACUGUGAGGCGUGGCUACUUUAAAAUACAGAUUCCAAGGACAAAUUGGUUCUCGACGUGCUCGUGAGUCAAGCUGAAUCACAGAAACCAGGACCUCCACAAAGGGAAGAAAUCUGACCAUAAUUUUGUGAAUUACGACAGAUGGACUAUCAAGCUCACAGUAAAGAAUAUGCUUUCAGUGGAAAUUAGAUAUGUGGCAUUUUAAAGUCCCCAUAUGGAUGGCAUAUCUAUUGCUCCUGUUCUGUGGCCUCGCAUAUUCCUGUGGAAGUGCAGAAUAUGAAAUUUAUGGAGAGUGCUGUCUAAUGUGCACACCUGGGACACGUGUUUAUAAGCACUGCACGGAGUACACUAGCACCUCCUGUGUACCGUGCACUCAAAAGACAUUCAGCGCCGUGCCCAGCAAUCUGCCCAAUUGUUUGUCUUGUACAGUGUGUGAGCCAGACUUGGGAUUAAAAACAGAGAGAGAGUGCACCCCCACCUCUGACACAGUGUGUGGGCCUCUGGAUCACCACUACUGCACUAAGACUGAUAAUAAGGGGUGUAGCUUUGCGCAGAAACACACCAUCUGCAGGCCUGGACAGUUCAUCAUACACAAAGGAACAACAUCGACUAAUACCAAAUGUGGAUACUGUCCUGAUAAAACUUUUUCAAAUGAAUACUUUUCUGCGUACUGCAAACCACACAGAGAUUGCCAGUCUUUGGGACUUCAGGAAAUUACAGCAGGAACAAAGACAUUGGACAGUCAAUGUGGACCAAGAAAUAUUCCUGUUUCCAUCGUUAUUUUGUGUCUUGUGUCUGUGCUGCUUGCUUUAGCUGUUAUUUUAGAAAUCAUUUUCAUUUUAAGUAAGUUUCUCCCUCUAUCUGGUCAGACUUUGAAUUUUAUUUUUAAUAAACUUGUAAAUGGUGAUGCAGUUUGUAUCGCAGUUUAAGGUUGGCUGUGCUACACACAUUUUGUGAAUUGAAAUCCUUGUAUUUAUACAAGAGAUAUGAGUGGUUAGCAUAUUAAAUAUUUUAAUCAGGGAAUUCAAAAAGGAAAAGUAAUGUAGUACUCCAUCGGUUGAUUGGUGAUAUUCAAUGUUAAAGAAUUAAACAAGAAAAUAAAAAAGGAAAGGUAAUAAUUUAAUGUUAUAUUUUCAAGUUAUUAAAACAAAUUUAAUGUUAUCAAGUAAUUAAAUAAUGAACCAUUAUUUUGUUUUCAGAGAGGACAAAGAGGAAGUGGCAACAGAUCUGACAGAACGUGAAAGAAUGAACAGGAUAGGCCAGCCACAGGAUGACGGGAGCAGAAGGCAGAACAUGGGUUGCAGGGAGGGCUGGAGCUGAUCCCAGCAUGUGGGCAAGAGGCAGGAAUAUACCCUGGACCGGCUGCCAAACCAUCGCAGGACCCUCACAGCAUUCACUCACGCAGUCAUGCCUAAAGGCAAUUUAUCACAAUCUUCAGGUCUUUGAACUAUGGGAGGAAACUGUAUCACAAGGAAACCCACAGCGACAUGGAGAGAAAAUGCAUUCACACAGAAAGGUGAUCCUAAUGACAUGGACUGUGCAUUUUUUACUGAUGUUGAUUCAAAGGAGGAAUCUGCCAUGUGUGAAAUUAGACCUGCUUGAUCUGAAAAAGACAAGCUGGUGACAGUCGGAGGUAUGUGCGAUAAAUGGUUGGAGAUCCUGCAUAGUCACUGCAUGGAAUAGCUUGCCAGGCCAUGUCGUACAGGAAGAAACUGGGGGUUUUCAAGGCCAGGCUUGAUAUGGUGCAAGAUGCUAUCUAGUUUCUAGAUAAACCGAGCACCAGGUGAACUUUAGUAGCAGGAAAAUGGCGAGCAAUCCUGGCCCUUAUCUUACAGUAGACGGAUGCCUUUUUCCAUGUAGAGGACACUGUCCCUUCAGGCAGUACACGCCAAACAAGCCUCCCAAAUAUGGUAGCAAACUUUUGGCAGCAUGUGAUGUGAAAUAUUACGAUACAUGGAAUAUGCAAGUCCAUACUGGACAACCACUGGAAAAUCCACCAAAAUCAGCUAUGUUUGUGCUUAAAAGGCAACCCAGGCAGGACAUAAAGCAUGUUUGCAGCAUUGUGAGGAACAACUAUGGAGCAAAUCCAUUAACAGAACUCGUCUCGGGAAGCAUGCAGACCAAACAAGGAUGAAAUCAGUCAUUGUCGCUGACAGAGGGCUGAGCUCCGCUCAUACAACACCAUUUGGUCAGCUGUUCCGCGCAACAGGCUCCAUCUGUGGAAAAACUCCAAAUCAGACCCCAGAUCUGAAGCUACUGGUGGAGGCCAAGAAUCGACAGAGCGAGAGAACCAGCCAGCACAGGCUCCACAGCACACCUGCAACCAGAGUUCACCUGUGGUGGGUCUCAGCAGAAGCAGUCCAGCUGUUGUGCCUCCUGGCAGGUACAAAGACUUGAGGCAAUACUGAAGGUUGCGCUCUACCAACCUGUGAAGUGCUUGAACCUCUGACCCUAUCUGAGCAUCAAAAAAGGAGUUUUCAUAUGAGAGACUAACUAUAGGAAAAAAAUAUACAGCAAAUCAAGAUGGAAAACUGAGCUGACUGCUGUUUUUAACUUCAACUUCUACUUUAUGUCACUGGAAACUUCCUUUAUUCUCCUGGAGUUAACUAUUAUUUUAGUGAUUGUAAUGUAAUGUAAAAGGCUAUAGUUAAAAAACUAAGACAAUAUCCUGGUAUUUUCUGUUAUAUUUUAUGUAUAUUUUAUGCUCCAUCCAAUACAGACUUCAGUAAUGUGAUGAUAGGGUAAUCAGCAAUAAAGGCCAAAAGAGAAAAAAAUUACACACACA